GGCGGCAAGGCGGCAAAAGUGGCAAAUUCUCGAACACGUCUCUUUCUCUAACAUCUCUCUCAAACUCUAAACCAUCUAAAUUCUCACUUCUAGUCCUUCCUCAGCUUGUCUUUUCGCCAUUCUACAAAUUUGAAAUGGUUGCUUAACUUGUUGCAGAUCCUUCUCAACUGUGUCAUUUUAGGGAUGAAUUUCUCAUAAUAAGAAGUUUCAUUUUGUUCGAUGAGGUUAUACUUCAUACCUCCCUUUGCCACAUCAAAUUCUGCGCCACUUUGGCAUUGUGACCUGUCCAGUAAGCUCCAGUCAAUUUUCUUUUAAACGUUUCAUACUUGUUAAGCUUUACAACAAUUUUGUAUGCAUGCAUACUUAGAUGCUUGAAAAUGGUCUGGGCCAUCUAGUAUGUUAAGAACGUAUGCUUCAAUUUGUUGCGGGCUUGCUCAUUCUAGGAAAAAGCUUUUAUCUAUUUAGCAUUUGACCCA